AUGAAAUGCACCCUCGGGGGGUUGUGCUGGCGCUCCGGCGCAACGUGCACGCCCCCUCUGGCGUUCAGACCCAUUCACACCUGUGCACGAACCUGUCGGACGGGAGUGGCGCCUUGCGUGCCCUCCGGUCUGGCCCUUCACAUCAGCUUAUUAUUGUAUGUCGAAUGCAUCACUGCGCACGCGCAACCGAAAUA
rnacentral:misc_RNA from 1 species